rfam:Loxodonta africana unplaced genomic scaffold scaffold_53, whole genome shotgun sequence.
GCAUUGGUGGUUCAGUGGUAGAAUUCUUGCCUUCUACAUGGGAGAUCCAGGUUUGAUUCCCAACCAGUGCA